UACGAAGGGGGCUAGCGUUGCUCGGAAUCACUGGGCGUAAAGGGUGCGUAGGCGGGUCUUUAAGUCAGAGGUGAAAUCCUGGAGCUCAACUCCAGAACUGCCUUCGAUACUGGCGAGCUCGAGUCCGGGAGAGGUGAGUGGAACUGCGAGUGUAGAGGUGAAAUUCGUAGAUAUUCGCAAGAACACCAGUGGCGAAGGCGGCUCACUGGCCCGGUACUGACGCUGAGGUGCGAAAGCGUGGGGAGCAAACAGG
rnacentral:rRNA from 1 species